AUGAGGGGAACGCGAGGGGGGGCUCUGAGGGGCGCGGCCCCUUUAAGGAGCGGGGCAGCGCCUCCGGGAGGCGCGCGGAAGCGGGGCGAGCCGGGUGGGGGGCGCGCAGGGGAGGGGGCGGGGCCAAGGCGGGGAGGGGGCGGGGCCAAGGCUGGGAGGGGCGUGUCCUACCCCGCGCUGGCCACGCCCCCUCUCCGCCUAGCCCCGCCCCUCGUCCCGCGUGGGGAGGGGGGGGGGGGGGGGGGGGGGGAGGAGGAGGAGGAGGGGGAGGAAGGGGAGGAGGGGGAGGAGGAGGAGGAGGAGGAGGAGGAGGAGGAAGGCCGCCCCCUGCGGAGGGGUCCCCGCCCCGCCGGACGGAGGCGCGGACGCCGGAGGCUGCUGCCGCCCCCGAGCCGCGGGCUGCGAGGAGGAGGACUGCCUUUUGGAUUGUGAGCCACUUGGACAUGGUAAUGCAGAUGCACCUAGAGAGUCAGACCUGGAUGACUGGGAUUUAAAGUGAGUGUGUGCUGAAGAAUAUGUGUAGAUCUGAACCAUGAACUAUUUUUUGUAGUCAUUUUUUUUUUUCUGGAGUUUGUACAAAACAUUUAAAGCAGAAUCCAUCUGUACCUCCUUGUGUAUGUGUAGAAGAAAUGUUAUUCAAUGUGAAAGUGACAAGAGGUGUUCCCCAAACUUCACCUCAGCAUGCACUGAGAGCCAGCAGGCAACUGGGAUGGAUCCCUUCUUCCAGACCUUCUGUCACUCCCUCUUCCAAUUGUUGCAUGUUAAAAUAAGUAGCCAUUCUAAUGGCAAUUCUUUGAAAUGUAACAUGUUAAUUAAUUGCAGGUCUAUAGCCUGCCCUCUAGGCUGUACGGUCUUCAUUUUUCAGAUUUUUGAGGAUAUAUUUGCAACUUAGACUUAAUUCAGUUAUUUUUGUUCUUGCCUCUUAGGGUGCUUGAAUCUCGCCCUUACCACAUGUGGCCUUAUGGCUCUAUGUCAUGUACUCUGAUCUAAAUAACUUUCUAGAUUCUUCUGUAAUGAGCAAGAUUGUCUAGUACACGUUGUCCAGCCUUACAGAGCAGGCUGCAGCUGUGUGACCUGAGUGUAUAGUGUUAGACAUCAAAGAUCUGCUCUAUGAAGGUGACCAGUAGAGCACUUUGAUGCCAGCCUCAUUUAGUGUCCUUGUCAUGCUCAGAGCUAUGCUUUCGAGUCCUUCCUGCUUUGUGACACUGAGGAAUUGAUUCUUUUUGAAAGGUAAAAUUAUAAAUAGGCCCAUGCUGCCAUUGUAUUUGGAAACAAAUGGUGGGGUGACACAAUGAGAGAAUUUUUUUCCUCCACCUUCAGCUGUUGUUUCCCCCUUACUGGAGAGAAAUGUUUCUUUACCAGCAACACCUAUUCUUUCCUUUAUAAAGGACAGCUAUUCGGGGAACUCAAAACCAAUGCAGAAUAUAAAUGCAAUGCAUUUUGUUUUCACCUCACCCUGGAAGUAUAACGUUGUUGGGACAAAUCAUUUUAAGAACAUUUCAACUCCUUCUGUUAUUUGAAAGCUUGAAGUACUGUUUAAUCCAGCCAUAUCUUUCACAUAUACUACACUUGUUUUCCCCACAGAAAGCGGUAAAGCAUCUUCCCACACAAACCAAGAACAAAAGGGACCUUUUUUAUUUUAUUUUUAUUUUUAUUUUUAUUUUUAUUUGUGUGUGUGUGUGUGUCUAUCAGGUUCUGUCCCUCCCAUAAAGACAACUCCCACUACUUGUGUAGUGCAUGGGAUUAAUCUUGCUCUGAGAAUUAUGUAGUUUCUGUGCGUUGUGAUUUCUUGGAGAUGAUCAGGAUCUCACUAUUUUGUGUCUGCAAAAUAAGGGAUAGAAGGUCCUUUCCUAGCUUCUGAAGGCUUGGGAGAGCAUGCUGUAAAGAGUGGAAAUUUGAACAAAAGCUGUGGUGUUUUUUUUUUUGUUGUCAUUUUUGUUUUUUUAAGAUGUUAAAAACAAGUGGAGGAGUAGGGACAGUGGUCACUAUCCUCUCACACAUGCUAGGCAGCUUGAAAAGUUGGAAGGAGUUGAAGUAGAAAAAUGAAACUUGACCAAGAUUUGAAAAAAAAAAAACACAACUGGUUUGCAUGGUCAUGAAAAAAUGUAUUGAAUCUUGACAAUCUCGAAUAAAAGCAUUUGUGUAAAGUGUCUUCCA
ensembl:lncRNA